rnacentral:rRNA from 1 species
GUGAUGCGCGCAGCCUGAUCCAGCCAUGCCGCGUGCGGGAAGAAGGCCUUCGGGUUGUAAACCGCUUUUGUCAGGGAAGAAAAGGUUCUGGCUAAUACCUGGGACUCAUGACGGUACCUGAAGAAUAAGCACCGGCUAACUACGUGCCAGCAGCCGCGGUAAUACGUAGGGUGCAAGCGUUAAUCGGAAUUACUGGGCGUAAAGCGUGCGCAGGCGGUUAUGCAAGACAGAGGUGAAAUCCCCGGGCUCAACCUGGGAACUGCCUUUGUGACUGCAUGGCUAGAGUACGGUAGAGGGGGAUGGAAUUCCGCGUGUAGCAGUGAAAUGCGUAGAUAUGCGGAGGAACACCGAUGGCGAAGGCAAUCCCCUGGACCUGUACUGACGCUCAUGCACGAAAGCGUGGGGAGCAAACAGGAUUAGAUACCCUGGUAGUCCACGCCCUAAACGAUGUCAACUGGUUGUUGGGAGGGUUUCUUCUCAGUAACGUAGCUAACGCGUGAAGUUGACCGCCUGGGGAGUACGGCCGCAAGGUUGAAACUCAAUGAAAUUUGGACGGA